GCCAGGCAUAGUGGUAUACGCAUAUAAUCUUGGUCAAUAGAGAUCCUAAGGCUGGUGGAUCUCUUGAGCUCUGGAGUUCUGAGCUGCAGUGGGCUAUGCUGAUUGAGCAUCUACACUAAGUUUGUCAUUAUUAUGGUGUGAGCCACGGGUAACAAGGGGCUACCAGGUUACCUAAAGAAGGGUGAACCAACCCAGGUCAGAUAUGAAGCAGGUCAAAGCUCUCAUGCUGAUUAGUAGUGCCUUAGUACUUAGAUUGGGAGAGCCUUAAAUAGCCUGACCACUUCCAAGUCACCUGAGAUAGGGGGACCCAGUCUCA
ensembl:misc_RNA Metazoa_SRP Metazoan signal recognition particle RNA